rnacentral:rRNA from 1 species
CUACGGGGGGCAGCAGUGGGGAAUAUUGGACAAUGGGGGAAACCCUGAUCCAGCAAUGCCGCGUGUGUGAAGAAGGCCUGCGGGUUGUAAAGCACUUUCGGUUGGGAGGACUGCUUCUAGCACUAAUAUUGUUGGAAGUUGACGUUACCUUCAGAAGAAGCACCGGCUAACUCCGUGCCAGCAGCCGCGGUAAUGACGGAGGGUGCAAGCGUUAAUCGGAAUUACUGGACGUAAAGCGCGCGUAGGCGGCUAGAUCAGUCGGGUGUGAAAGCCCCGGGCUUAACCUGGGAACUGCAUCCGAUACUGUCUAGCUUGAGUACAGGAGAGGAGAGUGGAAUUCCACAUGUAGCGGUGAAAUGCGUAGAUAUGUGGAGGAACACCAAUGGCGAAGGCAGCUCUCUGGCCUGAUACUGACGCUGAGGUGCGAAAGCGUGGGGAGCAAACAGGAUUAGAUACCCUCGUAGUC